UUUAUGGAGAGUUUGAUCCUGGCUCAGGAUGAACGCUGGCGGCGUGCCUAAUACAUGCAAGUCGAGCGAACGGACGAGAAGCUUGCUUCUCUGAUGUUAGCGGCGGACGGGUGAGUAACACGUGGAUAACCUACCUAUAAGACUGGGAUAACUUCGGGAAACCGGAGCUAAUACCGGAUAAUAUUUUGAACCGCAUGGUUCAAAAGUGAAAGACGGUCUUGCUGUCACUUAUAGAUGGAUCCGCGCUGCAUUAGCUAGUUGGUAAGGUAACGGCUUACCAAGGCAACGAUGCAUAGCCGACCUGAGAGGGUGAUCGGCCACACUGGAACUGAGACACGGUCCAGACUCCUACGGGAGGCAGCAGUAGGGAAUCUUCCGCAAUGGGCGAAAGCCUGACGGAGCAACGCCGCGUGAGUGAUGAAGGUCUUCGGAUCGUAAAACUCUGUUAUUAGGGAAGAACAUAUGUGUAAGUAACUGUGCACAUCUUGACGGUACCUAAUCAGAAAGCCACGGCUAACUACGUGCCAGCAGCCGCGGUAAUACGUAGGUGGCAAGCGUUAUCCGGAAUUAUUGGGCGUAAAGCGCGCGUAGGCGGUUUUUUAAGUCUGAUGUGAAAGCCCACGGCUCAACCGUGGAGGGUCAUUGGAAACUGGAAAACUUGAGUGCAGAAGAGGAAAGUGGAAUUCCAUGUGUAGCGGUGAAAUGCGCAGAGAUAUGGAGGAACACCAGUGGCGAAGGCGACUUUCUGGUCUGUAACUGACGCUGAUGUGCGAAAGCGUGGGGAUCAAACAGGAUUAGAUACCCUGGUAGUCCACGCCGUAAACGAUGAGUGCUAAGUGUUNGNGGGUUUCCGCCCNUNAGUGCUGCAGCNAACGCAUUAAGCACUCCGCCUGGGGAGUACGACCGCAAGGUUGAAACUCAAAGGAAUUGACGGGGACCCGCACAAGCGGUGGAGCAUGUGGUUUAAUUCGAAGCAACGCGAAGAACCUUACCAAAUCUUGACAUCCUUUGACAACUCUAGAGAUAGAGCCUUCCCCUUCGGGGGACAAAGUGACAGGUGGUGCAUGGUUGUCGUCAGCUCGUGUCGUGAGAUGUUGGGUUAAGUCCCGCAACGAGCGCAACCCUUAAGCUUAGUUGCCAUCAUUAAGUUGGGCACUCUAAGUUGACUGCCGGUGACAAACCGGAGGAAGGUGGGGAUGACGUCAAAUCNNNNNNNNNNNNNNNNNNNNNNNNNNNNNNNNNUGCUACAAUGGACAAUACAAAGGGCAGCGAAACCGCGAGGUCAAGCAAAUCCCAUAAAGUUGUUCUCAGUUCGGAUUGUAGUCUGCAACUCGACUACAUGAAGCUGGAAUCGCUAGUAAUCGUAGAUCAGCAUGCUACGGUGAAUACGUUCCCGGGUCUUGUACACACCGCCCGUCACACCACGAGAGUUUGUAACACCCGAAGCCGGUGGAGUAACCUUUUAGGAGCUAGCCGUCGAAGGUGGGACAAAUGAUUGGGGUGAAGUCGUAACAAGGUAGCCGUAUCGGAAGGUGCGGCUGGAUCACCUCCUUU
rnacentral:rRNA from 1 species